GGCCUGCAUCAGGAGUUGGGGCGACGCCCAACGCCAACCUGCCGUGCCGGGCAAGGUGGCGCUCCCGCAAGGGAGGAUGUGGCCAGACCGGCAACCAAGCGGAUCAUG
rnacentral:ncRNA from 2 species